CAAAGGAACUUCCACUUCUUUCAUUUUUUCAAGUUUAGCAUAUCCCAUGUGUAGUCAGUAUGAAUAUGUUAAGUUUCUGUUAUUGCACAGCUUUACACGAGGCUUUCAGCGACAAGCAGCUGAUCAAAUCUUCAACUUAUUGCAACCUAGAUAUGCAUACUCCCUUAUAGUCGGAGUGGGGCUUUUUCACUGCAGCAAUGGGGGGGAGCUCUGGAAUUGCAUAUUACGCCAGUUCCAUAUUGAAGAAGCCAGUUUUUCAAGUACAAUUGGGACUAUCUCUAUAGCUAUAUCCAGG